CACCAAGAAGUUAAGUUAUACAGUUGAUAGUGAAAAGACAGUUAAGUAUUAUAUAGGAUGAUAGGCUACUUAAUUUACUAUAUAGAGGUAAAAUUCGAGUAUAGUUAAAUAAAUCGGGAGUGGCUUGGAAGCUGAAUCUGUGAAAUCCUUGAGGGAAACUGGGAUUAGGUACCCUAUUAUUCUUGGGUGUAAAUGGAGUUGCUUUACUAGAGUACUAUGAAUGUUGUAAGUUUAAAACUCAAAGAACUUGGCGGUGUUUUAGACCACUUAGGGGAACCUGUCUCGUAAUCGACAAUCCACGUUGUACCUGACCUUUCUUUGUUUUUCAGCUUGUAUACCGUUGUCGUCAGGUAACCUUUUAGAGGGUAGAAGUUGGCUAGAAAAAUGAAUAAUUUAGUACGUCAAAUCAAGGUGCAGCUAAUAGGAAGGGAGGGAUGGGUUACAGUUAUAUAUUUAUAAUUACGAAUGAUUAUAUGAAAAUAUAAUGUGUGAAGGUGGACUUAAAAGUAAAUUAAAAUAUAAGAAUAAUUUGAAUUAGGCUCUGAAAUGUGU
rnacentral:rRNA from 1 species